rnacentral:rRNA from 1 species
AACGAACGCUGGCGGCAUGCCUAACACAUGCAAGUCGAACGAGACCUUCGGGUCUAGUGGCGCACGGGUGCGUAACGCGUGGGAACCUGCCCUUAGGUUCGGACUAACUCCCCGAAAGGGGUGCUAAUACCGGAUAAUGUCUUCGGACCAAAGAUUUAUCGCCUUUGGAUGGGCCCGCGUUGGAUUAGCUAGUUGGUAGGGUAAAAGCCUACCAAGGCGACGAUCCAUAGCUGGUCUGAGAGGAUGAUCAGCCACACUGGGACUGAGACACGGCCCAGACUCCUACGGGAGGCAGCAGUGGGGAAUAUUGGACAAUGGGCGAAAGCCUGAUCCAGCAAUGCCGCGUGAGUGAUGAAGGCCUUAGGGUUGUAAAGCGCUUUUACCCGGGAUGAUAAUGACAGUACCGGGAGAAUAAGCUCCGGCUAACUCCGUG